AGAUUGAACGCUGGCGGCGUGCUUAACACAUGCAAGUCGAGCGGUAACGCGGGAGCAAUCCUGGCGACGAGCGGCGAACGGGUGAGUAAUGCUUGGGAAUCUGCCCAUUAGUGGGGAACAACCAGCCGAAAGGUUGGCUAAUACCGCAUACGCCCUACGGGGGAAAGCGGGGGAUCGUAAGACCUCGCGCUAAUGGAUGAGCCCAAGUCGGAUUAGCUUGUUGGUAGGGUAACGGCCUACCAAGGCGACAAUCCGUAGCUGGUCUGAGAGGACGACCAGCCACACUGGGACUGAGACACGGCCCAGACUCCUACGGGAGGCAGCAGUGGGGAAUAUUGGACAAUGGGGGCAACCCUGAUCCAGCGACGCCGCGUGUGUGAAGAAGGCCUGCGGGUUGUAAAGCACUUUUAGUGGGGAUGAAAAGCUCAGGGUUAACACCUCUGGGUCUUGACCUAACCACAGAAAAGCACCGGCUAACUCUGUGCCAGCAGCCGC
rnacentral:rRNA from 1 species